rnacentral:rRNA from 1 species
AGAGUUUGAUCAUGGCUCAGAUUGAACGCUGGCGGCAGGCCUAACACAUGCAAGUCGAACGGUAGCAGGAAGUGCCUGCACUUUGCUGACGAGUGGCGGACGGGUGAGUAAUGCUUGGGAACUUGCCUUUGCGAGGGGGAUAACAGUUGGAAACGACUGCUAAUACCGCAUAAUGUCUACGGACCAAACGGGGCUUAGGCUUCGGCGCAGAGAGAGGCCCAAGUGAGAUUAGCUAGUUGGUGGGGUAAAGGCUCACCAAGGCGACGAUCUCUAGCUGUUCUGAGAGGAAGAUCAGCCACACUGGGACUGAGACACGGCCCAGACUCCUACGGGAGGCAGCAGUGGGGAAUAUUGCACAAUGGGGGGAACCCUGAUGCAGCCAUGCCGCGUGUGUGAAGAAGGCCUUCGGGUUGUAAAGCACUUUCAGUUGUGAGGAAAAGUGAGUAGUUAAUACCUGCUCACCGUGACGUUAACAACAGAAGAAGCACCGGCUAACUCCGUGCCAGCAGCCGCGGUAAUACGGAGGGUGCGAGCGUUAAUCGGAAUUACUGGGCGUAAAGCGCACGCAGGCGGUUUGUUAAGCUAGAUGUGAAAGCCCCGAGCUCAACUUGGGAUGGUCAUUUAGAACUGGCAGACUAGAGUCUUGGAGA